GAUGGGUGAAGGGAGAUCCUUUGGUGUACCGAGUUCAUGAUGUAAAUUCUAAUCCUUUACUUUAUACGAUCUAUCUUUUGAUUAUGUUAUGAUUCUUAUAUGUUGAAAAUUCUUUUAUGAUUUAUGCUUAUUGAUACAUGUCUUCCUCAAUUAUUUGAUUCAUCGUUGACGUUCUAAGGCACGUUGAAUGCUUAAGAAGAGAAUUCAUGUUAUCAAGAACAUACUCAAUAAUUAAAUUUUAUCUGCUUAUAAUUUUCAAAAGAAAACAAAAGAAUCAUAGAAUUUAUCGCAUGAACUUGAUAUUAUUAAAGAAGAUUCUGGAUCCCUACACCAUCUUAAUCUAUCCAAACUUCGAUUCUCUAUUUACUGGUUUAUUUUCUAUUUGCAAACCAUCAUCUUAAUUCACAAGUUUAUUGAAUUAAUUAAUCUGAAAUUAAGCUAAUAAUCCAUAGAUCGUUCUUUGAGGAAUCGACCUCGGACUUCCGAGUUAUACUACUUGUGCGAUUCUCCUGCACUUGGGAGAACAGUUUUGCGAGCGCACCAAUGGUGCCAGAAGGAAGUGCAAGGAUCAUACAAGAAAGGCUUUCCAUGACAGCAAUAGUACAAACUUGUGGUUCUUUGAUGGAUCAGGCAGCAAGUUCAUGCACUUUCUCUCAUAUUUAACAUAUGGCCAUCUUCUUCUACAUAUUUCAUAAAAGAUGGAAGCUUUAAUAGUUAUUUAGGUGACAAAGUGCUUUAAAAAUGAAAAUUGUCAUACGACCCUUCUUUUUGGGACAAGAAUACUAAUAGCAUGUAUCAUCCACUGACUGCCAAUCACACACACAUAAGAAGAAAAGAAAAAAACGAGCUGAAGCACAUAGCUUCUCAGUUCUCAUAUGAUAUGGACAUUUGCUGCCACAUGCAAAUAUUUAUAUGCGAACACAUACACGAA
rnacentral:lncRNA from 1 species